CCUACGAGAGGCAGCAGUGAGGAAUAUUGGUCAAUGGGCGCGAGCCUGAACCAGCCAAGUAGCGUGAAGGAUGACUGCCCUACGGGUUGUAAACUUCUUUUAUAAAGGAAUAAAGUGAGGCACGUGUGCCUUUUUGUCUGUACUUUAUGAAUAAGGAUCGGCUAACGCCGUGCCAGCAGCCGCGGUAAUACGGAGGAUCCGAGCGUUAUCCGGAUUUUUUGGGUUUAAAGGGAGCGUAGAUGGGUUGUUAAGUCAGUUGUGAAAGUUUGCGGCUCAACCGUAAAAUUGCAAUUGAUACUGGCAGCCUUGAGUACAGGUGAGGUAGGCGGAAUUCGUGGUGUAGCGGUGAAAUGCUUAGAUAUCACGAAGAACUCCGAUUGCGAAGGCAGCCUACUAAACUGCCACUGACAUUGAUGCUCGAAAGUGUGGGUAUCAAACAGGAUUAGAUACCCCAGUAGUC
rnacentral:rRNA from 1 species